UCUAAUGUAAGCACGCGGCAACACUUAAUUUUUUCCUUUUCACAAAACUGCGCCCUUCUCAUUCGUUCAGAGAUUAAAGUUCACCUUCUUCUUCACCGUUUUUACCCUUCUUCUUUGCCUUCACUCACCACCACUCACCGUCUUUAUUCUCCUUUGUCUUUAUCUUCGCUCAUGACUCACCGUCUCCGCUCCUCAUUUUCACCUUCGCUCACCAUUCACAAUGCUCACCAUCAGCAUCUCGUGCGAUCAGCGUCGCCGCUUACCAUCGUCGUCUGUGCACUCACCAGGGAAUCGUUGUCUGUGAAAUGGAUGAAGAACUAACUUCAAAAACAGUGGCUUGGUGUGGCUGAUUGUGCUAAUUUCAAGUCAGGAUCCAAAGAACUCAAGGUAGAAUGCAAGAGUUCUGCUAAAAAUGGCCAUAUGCAGCAUAAGAUACUUAGUGGGAGAAGCAAGGUUUGAAAUCUUACAAGAUUUAUCCAAGGAGAAAGUGAUGACUUUAUGAAUCUGGCCUUCAUAACAGGUAGAACAAACCACGCAGUACUAACAUCUGAUUCGCAGCAAAUUAAUUGGAUGUCUUUCUCAUUGUAUGCACUAAGGUGUUGAAAGUUCUCUCAGCAUCUCCUUUAGAUUAUUCUACCAACCCAAAUUCAAAGUUAGCUACUCCUGCAUAACUUGCUGGAACUUCAAUGUCAUUAGUUUCGGUUGUUUAGUAUAAGUGACAACAUUGGUGAAACUGAAGGUGAAACAGGUGGACAUGUUUUUUGUGCAAUUUAUAUGCCAAAUCUUAGGUGUUGUUUGUAUUUUUCAUUUUUUUUAAUUUUUAAUGUGCAAUGAGGAAUGAGAUGUGUAAUAUAUAAUAAAUUUUAUAGAAGCAUAAUCACUUUUUUGCAUCCAGAUUGAAACAUCUUUAAAGAAGUGAAUGAAUACUUACUUUUA